rnacentral:lncRNA from 1 species
CACUGUAUCAGACUAAGCAUAACUGAAAAGAUGAUGUUGAAAUGUUGAAGUUGAAAUGUUGCUGGAAUAGUGGAGGCAGCGCCUGUUUUCAUUGCGACUUGCAGUAACUCUCCUGUGUUCUAAAUCAAUAGUUUAGUAGUCUGAAAAUGUAGGAAACAUUAACUUGUUUGACCAUGCUGUAGGUCAUGUAACUGUUUGUUACAUGCAAUAUGCUUUGUGGACUUCACCGGACAGAGGUUUCUCUCCGGUUUUGUGAUGAACCAAAGGUGUGGUUGAAUUUAUAAGAAGUUAUUGUCUCAGCCUUUAGGCCUAUAUAUCACUGUGUCAAGGCAUAUGAACUAACAGGUUAUAGAGAAAACAACGCAAUUAUCACAACACAUUCCCUGGUGAUUUUACCUCUACUGCUUACACAUCUAUUCCUAAUUCAUGUCUGGCCAUGUCCUCUCUACUCACUUACUCACUCACUCCCCCUCAUGUUCCUUCAAGGUGUCUCGGAAAGAGAUCAGCUGGAGAGUAUCAUGAGACUGACUGUCAUGUACAAGCACCGCCUGGUGCCAGGAAUAGGCUAUUUUUCUUCAUUAACACCAGGCAUAUUUUUUUAGGAGCAUACAUGACACCUUUUUAAUGUCUUAAAAACCCUCUCAAGGUAAACUUCAAAAGGGGCAAUCUGCAGUUCAAACUAUAUCAAAAGCUGACACCCUACCACUGUUUUGGUAAAAAAAAGGUGAGGGAUGGGCUGGAGAAAUGUAACCACUCUCAAAUUCAAAGACAUAGAUAUGGUUGCAAGGACAUGAUAUCUAAAUUAUAGUUUUAACUAUGUUUUGAGGCUAUAUAGUGUUUGUUUAUCUUUACUUUGUUUAUGAACAUUGGAGUAAAAUAAGCAUAUAGAUUAUUGUGGGUUCUGAUGGGGUACGACAGUUGAACUCAUGAGGCGUUUAGAAAUUAUAUUUUCAAGAAUCAAUGGGUAUUAAAAAGUCCAAAAAUGGAUGGACCAAUUGCAGAUUGCCACUUUAACGUAAAGUGUUACCUACAUUAAUAUGUGUUCUACAUACAUGUAAAGCCAAAGUAAGUAGUUUGAAGAAUGAAAAUAAUAUACAAUAUAACACAAAAAUAAUGGGGCAGGAUAGGUAACUGGGAAUGGGUCUAUAGGUAACUGGGAAUGGGUCUAUAGGUAAAUGGGUCUAUAGGUAACUGGGAACGGGUCUAUAGGUAACUGGGUCUAUAGGUAACUGGGAAUGGUUCUAUAGGUUACUGGGUCUAUAGGUAACUGGGUCUAUAGGUAACUGGGUCUAUAGGUAACUGGGAAUGGUUCUAUAGGUAACUGGGUCUAUAGGUAACUGGGUCUAUAGGUAAACGGGUCUAUAGGUAACUGGGUCUAUAGGUAACUGGGUCUAUAGCUAACUGGGAAUGGUUCUAUAGGUAACUGGGUCUAUAGGUAACUGGGUCUAUAGGUAACUGGGUCUAUAGGUAACUGGGAAUGGUUCUAUAGGUAACUGGGUCUAUAGGUAACUGGGUCUAUAGGUAACUGGGUCUAUAGGUAAAUGGGUCUAUAGGUAACUGGGUCUAUAGGUAACUGGGUCUAUAGGUAACUGGGAAUGGUUCUAUAGGUAACUGGGUCUAUAGGUAACUGGGUCUAUAGGUAACUGGGAAUGGGUCUAUAGGUAACUGGGUCUAUAGGUAACUGGGUCUGUAGGUAACUGGAAACGGGUCUAUAGGUAACUGGGUCUAUAGGUAACUGGGUCUAUAGGUAACUGGAAACGGGUCUAUAGGUAACUGGGUCUAUAAGUAACUGGGUCUAUAGGUAACUGGAAACGGGUCUAUAGGUAACUGGUUCUAUAGGUAACUGGGUCUAUAGGUAACUGGGUCUAUAGGUAACUGGGAACGGGCCUAUAGGUAACUGGGUCUAUAAGUAACUGGGUCUAUAGGUAACUGGAAACGGGUCUAUAGGUAACUGGUUCUAUAGGUAACUGGGUCUAUAGGUAACUGGGUCUAUAGGUAACUGGGAACGGGUCUAUAGGUAACUGGUUCUAUAGGUAACUGGUUCUAUAGGUAACUGGGAACGGGUCUAUAGGUAACUGGGUCUAUAAGUAACUGGGUCUAUUGGUAACUGGAAACGGGUCUAUAGGUAACUGGUUCUAUAGGUAACUGGGAACGGGUCUAUAGGUAACUGGUUCUAUAGGUAACUGGUUCUAUAGGUAACUGGUUCUAUAGGUAACUGGGAACGGUUCUAUAGGUAACUGGUUCUAUAGGUAACUGGGUCUAUAGGUAACUGGGAACGGUUCUAUAGGUAACUGGGUAUAUAGGUAACUGGGUCUAUAGGUAACUGGGAACAGGUCUUUAGGUAACUGGUUCUAUAGGUAACUGGUUCUAUAGGUAACUAGGUCUAUAGGUAACUGGGAAUGGGUCUAUCGAGGGAUAACCGUUUGGGUUAAGUGCUGUUAGCUGAUCCAGCUCCUUUCGGACCAGAUGGUUGAAGUGACAAUUUGUCACACAAAUUCAGUUUCUGUAUAGAAAUGAAUGUCGUUGUGUGGACAGUCCAAGGACGACCCUUUAAAUAUCCCCAGAAUAAUUGCUUUGAGUGGAACAGCCAUUGUUGACGUGUUUUACCAAGCCUGUGGCAUUCUUUUACCAAUCAUAGAGUGAGGGCCUUGGUCACAAGUAGUGCAGCAUAGGGUACCAUUUGGCAUACAUCCUCAGACAAUGGGACAACACCGGCCUAGAGUCCUUCAUCCACACAACCGUCAAAUCAAAUCAAAUG